rnacentral:rRNA from 1 species
UACGAAGGGACCUAGCGUUGUUCGGAAUGACUGGGCGUAAAGGGUGCGCAGGCGGUUUUUUAAGUCAGAUGUGAAAGUCCUGGGCUUAACCUGGGGAGGUCAUUUGAUACUGGAAAACUAGAGUAUGAGAGGGGAUAGUGGAAUUACGAGUGUAGGGGUGAAAUCCGUAGAUAUUCGGAAGAACACCAGUGGCGAAGGCGACUUACUGGACACAUAUUGACGCUGAGGUGCGAAAGCGUGGGGAGCAAACAGG